UUUCAGUGUCCAUCUGCCAGGCUAGAAUAGUGAUAGAGAUCAUGGAGGAGAAAUGCAAAGGAGGUGCAGAGAAGCUGUGGAAAAAAAAGAAACCAGCCCUUCAGGCAGACUCUGCCAAAUGUGUCAAAUUGACAGACAUGUUUUUGGCAGUAGCAGGACCUUCAUCAGCUCCCGUGGCUGAUGAUAGUGGGUAGAACCUGCGGUAAGCAGAACUCCCCUUAAAUCACUUUGCCCCUUGAUAAAACUGAGCCAAAAACAAGUGGUGGACAAACCGUUAAUGAUAACACUACAAG